UAGUUUGUUCCUUCUUAUUGAGUAGUAGUCCACGGUAUAGAUAUACCAGUUUGUUUGACCUGAAUUACAUCAAACUUGUCAGCUCCAUUGAUUUGGGAGUGGCUGCCUGAGACACAGGGAUAAGGAACGACUCCUAGCUAGUUAGCAGAGGAAACACCACGUGACUGAUCUAGAGAUGAGUGCAUGACCUGAUUCUCCCAAUGAGAAGCAAGGAGAGGUCUCAGAAGCAGGCCUAAAGGUUGCUCCUUAUUCCUAAUGGAUGGGGCCUGCAGAUCCUGUGUUCUACAUCUGUGGAUCCAUCAAGAUUGUUUAGCAGGAAUUAAAAAUAAUAAGGCCCUGGCCCAGAGGGGGAUGCUGCGGCUACUACGAGUCAGCUCAGUGGACCCCGUGUGGAAUGCUUGUGCCAUUGCUGGGGAGAGGUGGCUGUCUCCCAGUGGUGUCCACCAUCAACCAGUGUGGCUGGCGGAGGUAAGGAAACCCCUCCAUGGUGCCGAAGACGUUCCCAUGACAUGACAAGUAUAUAGAAACAGCUCCCUCUGAACCCAAGAUUGCCUGCAA
rnacentral:lncRNA from 10 species